AAAAUGAAAGUCGACAAGAGAGGAUUCAAGGAGAAUUUCGACAAGAGUGAAAGAAAAGAAAAAGAAGACUGAAGAGGAAGAUCAGAAAAUUUCUACAAUGUGCAAGAUGACACACAAAAAAUCAGAAUUUGGAACUGGGGAAGAGAAAACAAAUUUUAAAAAAGAGAGAAAAAAACAAAAGAAAAUCUGAACUAAAUCAGAUAACCUCUUAAUCUCUCAAUCUGCUGUUGCACUCCCCCACUACAACUCAAACACCCCAAAACCGUCCACCACACUCUCUCCCUAUCCAAAAUCCCUUAAUUUUCUCUCCUCACUUCCCACUACACCUCUACCACAUCGACAUUUCAGUUCUACUCAAACUCUCCACGGCACCACUAGCAAAAAUAUAUCCCCCUUACUAGCGCAGGGACUUGAACUCCAAACCUCCCACACACCAAC
rnacentral:lncRNA from 1 species